rnacentral:tRNA from 1 species
GCCUGACUAGUCCGUCCAUACGCCUUGUAAGCGAAGGGUCGAGGGUUCGACUCCCUCCGGGGGCU